AUGCAGUCGAGGGGCAUCAGUUUGGUUUGCUUGCAAACCAAAGCUGGCGACCGGCGCACGGGUGAGUAACACGUAUCCAACCUGCCUCAUACUCGGGGAUAGCCUUUCGAAAGAAAGAUUAAUAUCCGAUAGCAUAUAUUUCCCGCAUGGGUUUUAUAUUAAAGAAAUUCGGUAUGAGAUGGGGAUGCGUUCCAUUAGUUUGUUGGGGGGGUAACGGCCCACCAAGACUACGAUGGAUAGGGGUUCUGAGAGGAAGGUCCCCCACAUUGGAACUGAGACACGGUCCAAACUCCUACGGGAGGCAGCAGUGAGGAAUAUUGGUCAAUGGACGCGAGUCUGAACCAGCCAAGUAGCGUGAAGGAUGACUGCCCUAUGGGUUGUAAACUUCUUUUAUAUGGGAAUAAAGUUGUCCACGUGUGGAUUUUUGUAUGUACCAUAUGAAUAAGGAUCGGCUAACUCCGUGCCAGCAGCCGCGGUAAUACGGAGGAUCCGAGCGUUUAUCCGGAUUUAUNGGGUUUAAAGGGAGCGUAGGCGGAUUGUUAAGUCAGUUGUGAAAGUUUGCGGCUCACC
rnacentral:rRNA from 1 species